rnacentral:misc_RNA from 1 species
ACCCGCAUAGGUGACGAGUCGGGCCCAGAAACACGGAUCGGCAAGGCGUCGCAUCGUAUACUUCCCACGCUGUGUGUGCUCAAACGCUGUUCGACCACGGCAGCGUCUUCCAGGAAGCGGACCCCUGCCAGAUUCUUGUUCUGCCAUCGGACCUCGCUCGGAAAGCUGCCGACGCGAUCGAUCGUGAGCAACACCCACGAAUUGAUCGUCAGCCGCUCGUCGAUCCGGAUCUUGGCGCCACCGGGAGAAAUGUUGAGCGCUUU